rnacentral:lncRNA from 1 species
UCUCCAGAGCCUGAGCUAGUCAGAAGUAACAGUUGCUACUGCGUCCCCCGGACACUGGGAGAAUCGUUUUCCUUGGGCAGCUGGUUCCAGACCCCCACCAGUCCUCUAGACUCCAGGCCAAUCAGUUGCUAAGGGACGUUCCUCUCUCAACCUGCACUUAUCAACAUUUUAAACUAUAAAUUCGUCUGCAUUUCUUCAUCGUCUAUCUAUGUGGACCAUGACUCCACAGAGGCAGGCUCACCAUUCCCAUCGCUUAUGCUGGGCAAUCAUCAAUAUACCCGCUGUCAUGGAAUUGCAGAAUCGUUAUCCAAAUGGCUUUGACUUUUACCACUACUCCCA